ensembl:lncRNA
CCUAUGCCGCAGCUGCAGCAACACUGGAUCCUUUAACCCAUUGUUCCGGGCCAGGAUCGAACCUGUGCCCUGUCACUGCAGAGAUGCAGCUGAUCCCAUUGCACCACAGCAGGAACUCCUAAACUUUAUUCUUCUAAAGUAUACAAUUUGGUGGUUUUAGUCUAUAUACAGAGUUGUGCAACCACUGCCACUACUUGAUUUGAGAACAUUUCCGUCACCUCAAAAAGAAAAGUUUGUACUUGUUAGUUGUCACCAGUCCUCCCUCCUCUAGUCCCCUGCAACCACUGAUCUUUUUGUUUUAUGGGUUUGACUAUUCUGGAUGUUUCCCAUCAAAGGAAUCAUAUACUAUGUGGUCUGUUGUGUCUAGCUGCUUUCACUGAGCGUCAUGUUUUCAGUCAUCUGUGUUGUAACAGGUGUCACUACUUCAUUCCUUUUCGAAGCUGACUAAUAUUCCACUGUCUGGACAUGCCACUUCCUGUUCAUCUGUUUGUCACAUUUGUGGACAUUUGUGUUGUUUCCACUUUUUGCCUAUUAUGAAUAAUGCUGCUAUGAACGUUCAUAUGCAAGGUUUGUUUUUUGUUUUGUUGAAGGGGGUAAAUCUUUUAUUAAAAUAUAGUUGAUUUACAAUGUUUUGUCAAUUUCUGCUAUACAACAAAGUGAACUAGUCACACUUAUAUAUAGUUUUUCUCAUAUUAUCUUCCAUCAUGGUCUAACACAAGAGAUUGGAUAUAGUUCCCUGUGCUACACAGUAGGACCUCAAUGCUCAUCCUUUCUAAAUAUAAUAGUUUGCAUCUACUAACCCCAAAUUCCCCCAACUUCCCAGUCCAUUCCACUCCUUCCUCCCUUCCCCUUGGUAACCACGAGUCUGUUCUCCAUGUCUGCAAGUCUGUUUCUAUUCUGUAGAUAGGUUCAUUUGUGCCAUGUUUUAUUUUAUGUAUUUAUUUAUUUUUUGUCUUUUUGCCAUUUCUUGGGCUGCUCCCGCGGCAUAUGGAGGUUCCCAGGCUAGGGGUCCAAUCAGAGCUGUAGCUGCCAGCCUACACCAGAGCCACAGCGACGCGGGAUCCAAGCCACGUCUGCAACCUACACCACAGCUCACGGCAACGCCAGAUCGAUAACCCACUGAGCAAGGGCAGGGAUCAAACCCAAAACCUCAUGGUUCCUAGUCGGAUUCGUUAACCACUGCGCCACGAUGGGAACUCCCCAUUUGUGCCAUAUUUUAGAUUACACAUACAAAUGAUAUCAUAUAGUAUUUGUAUUUCUCUUUCUGACUUACUUCACUAGUAUGAGAAUCCCUAGUUGCAACCAUGUUGCUGCAAAUGACAUUAUUUUGUUCUUUUUUAUGGCUGAGUAGUAUUCUAUUGUGUAUAUGUACCACAUCUUCUUAAUCUAUUCAUCUGUCAAUGGACAUUUAAGUUGUUUCCAUGUCUUGACUAUUGUGAAUAGUGCUGCUAUGAACAUACAGGUUGCCUGUGUCUCUUUGUUUAUGUUUUUGUCUUUUUAGGGCUAUAUCCACGGCAUAUGGAGGUUCCCAGGCUAGGGUUGAAUAGGAGCUGAGCUGUAGCUGCUGGCCUAUACCACAGCCACAGCAAUGUGGGAUCUGAGCUGCAUCUACAGCAUACACCACAGCUCACAGCAAUGCCAGAUCCUUAACCCACUGAGCAAGGCCAGGGAUCAAGCCUGCAUCCUCACGGGUGCUAGUCAGAUUCGUUUCUGCUGAGCUACGACGGGAACUCCUCAUGUAUCUUUUAGAAAAGUAGUUUUGUCCAGGUAUAUAUGCAGGAGUGGGAUUGCUGAAUCAUAUGGCUGUUAUUCUGUAUUUAGUCUUCUGAGGAACCUCCAUACUGUUUUCCAGAGUGGUUGUUCCAAUGUUUUGUGGUCUUUUUGGCUGUGCCUGUGGCAUAUGAAAUUUCCUGCGCCAGGGAUCAAACCCAUGCCAUAGCAGUGACCUGAGCUGCUGCAGUGACGUUGCCAGAUACUUAACCCACUGAGCCACAAGGGGACCCCUGCAAGUUUUUAUGUGGACAUGUGUUUUCACUUCUCUUGGGGGUAUACCUGGGCAUGGAAUUGCUGGGUCAUAUUGUAACUGUGUUUAACCUUUUGAGAAACUGCCAGACUUUUCCAAAGUGGCCACACAUUUUCUGAUCCCACGGUCAGUAUCUGAGGGUUCUAAUUUCUCCACAACCUUAGCAGUUGUCAUUACCUGUCUUUUCCAUUAUAGCCAUAUUAAUAGCUAGCUCAUUGUGGUUUUGAUUUGCAUUUCAUUAAUGACUAAUGAGUCGAGCAUCUAUGUGCUUCUGGGGCAUGUGUAUCUCUUCCUUAGAGAAAUGUUUGUUUAGACCCUUUGCCAUUUUUCAAUUAGGCAAUUGAGUUGUAAGCUUUCUUUUUUAUUUUUAUUUUCAAAAAAAAUUUUUUAGGGCCACACCUGCAACAUAUGGAAGUUCCCAGGCUAGGGGUUGAAUCGGAGCUACAGCUGCCAGCUACAGCCACAGCCAGGAACCUAGCUGCAUCUGCGAACUACACCACAGUUCAUGGCAACACCAGAUCCUUAGCCCACUGAGCAAGGCCAGGGAUCAAAUCCGAAUCCUUGUGGAUACUAGUUGUCUCUUUACUGCUGAGCCACAAUGGGCACUGCUGUAAGAUUUCUUUAUAUAAUCCAGAUAGUUGCCUGGUGCUUUUCAUGCUAUUAAGAAGGAAAACUACACUUGAUCCUAGCCAGAAGAGAAGGGAUUCCCGGCUUCUUUUUAUUCCUGAAGCCCGUGAGGACUACACAGGAAUUGAUCCCAGCCCCACUAGGGAAGGAUCACUCCCUGGGAGCCGAGGGCAGCACUUCGCAAUCUGCUCACCAUUAGUCCACAGGGGCAGAAACACUAUGCCACCCAGGAGACCUCAACAGCCAUAAUAGCGGCUA